GAAAAUUUCAAAACCGGCCAACGAUGGACAACACUAGGGAUUCAACAAUGACGAGAUCAUCUGGAUCAACUGGAGACGAAAUUCAGCCGCAUCGAACACCCAAGAAGACGACCAUGGAAAUCUGGCAGUUUAGGGAAACCAUUGGAAGACGAUCAAGAAGACAACAAUUUCAACAAGAACGAAUAUGAACUACAGCUCAAGGAAAGGUAAAAUUUGUGAGUAUAUCGUGGGGAAUCUAAAAAGAUCGAAAAGGACGGUAAAAGUUCCGAUCUAGGGAUACAUAAACUGAUAAAGCAACGCCAAAGGGAUUAAAAAGUAGACAAUUGUACUCUAUGGGGAGAGUUUUUAUGUCGAAUAAAGCUUCAAACAGUUGUAAUCCAUGGGGGGAUUCAAUAUGUUAAUAACAUUUCAAAACAUUUGCACUUUACGGGGAUAGUCAAAUGAUAAUUAAAGGGAAUGGAUAAAUAAUGCUUCAAGGGAAAAUCAAGGGAUAAAUAAUGCUUCAAGGGAUUUUAAGGGAUAAAAUAAUGCUUCAAGGGAAAAACACCUUUAAACUGAUAAAAUUCAGAGGAAAAAAAAAUCAGAACAUUACACGGAACAAAAUCCGGCCGGCGGAUUCGGAAAAAUAUUGCGAUGAAUCCGCAAACAGUGCUCGUUUCCGAAUUCAUCGAGAAUUCUUUCAAUAUUGGAAAUAUUGUUUUCGAUAUUGAAAAAAAAUGUUUCCGGAAUCGCAAACAUCAUGUUUGCGGUCCUUUUGUCUGUGCAGCCUGCCGCAGCCAAUGCGUUACGCUGUCAGAUUCAGCUGUUUGCGGUGCGCACUUGGGCAGGCAAAACAUAAACAAACUAGAAAAAAACUUUCGUGAAGGUGCCACAUUUCCGCGGGGACAAUAUUUUGGCCAAAAAUUGAUCAAGAAUUGAUCAAAAAGUAUCAACUACACCGGCAGAGCAGCGGGCGGACAAUUUGUGCUGUUGAAGGCGAGAAUUGGCCACCUUUCUGGACAAGUGGACGAGCCAGUCAGCUGAAGAGGAUUUUUCGCACGUCACGCCUGAGUAAUCCGCUUCAAAGCUGCUCAGCAACGACUAGACAGACUUCCGGCAAGGACUGCACCUGCUUUGGCGGCGAUUUUAUAAUCACAACAACGCGAAGUUGAUACGGCAUUGGUCGCGCUCCAGUUGUGUACCUUUGUGUUGUGGUGACCCGGAAUUUCGGUUGUUCUUUGGCGUGCGAUACGUUUCUCCCAUCGCCUCUUCUCUUGAGUUUGGCCUGGCGUGUUGGACCAUCUGGACACUCUUGCCCGCGUCGUGCGUUUGCUGCAGCUGGCGGUGCUCAAGAUCGCCCUCCUCAACGUUUUAUACAAGGCGAGCCUAGCGUCGCGCCACGCCUACACUCUUGGGACGCUCGUUGGACAGGUUGCCAAUCGGUGUUGUGUACGGGAUUCGCGAGAUGCCGAGUUUUUCCGUCUGACCUUGUGCCCUCUAAGUGAUCCUCCCCGUUUGCGAGGUCCUUCAGAUACAACUCUGGGAGCUGCUGGUGGCGGUCUGAGGUGCUCGUCGUGUAAAAUUUGCAGUUCGCGUGUUGCACACGAUUCGGAGAUGCGAUCGAGUAAGGCUCAGCACUCGUUGGGUGUUUGCUGUGCAGGCAUCUGUAAACUACAUUUGGUGGGAAGAAUGAUUUGGAUCUGAUCGAUUAUUCCAACAUUGAAGCGUGGGUUCGACAAACACCUCGACAGACCCAACUGCUAGCGGAGAUUCUGUCAUGCCACGGCGUCCAAACUGGGGCUCGUUCCAGGCGGACGGUCUCCUAGCGGAGGCCGCUCCGCUCAAGUUGAUCCUCAAGGUGAAAAUCGGAAAUGGAAUCACGAUCGUGGCGCAAUGCUUGGGCACCUUCGUUGCUCUUGUGUGGAGUCACUUGGGAUCCGGCAUGAACCUGAGUCCGCACCAGGACCUUUCCCGAAGGCGCGUAGAGGAAAAGAGCCAAAAUCUCCAGGACGAGGAGAACUUCCGGCGUGCCAGCUCGGAACUGAGUCUAAAAUAGGACGCGGAAAUCAUCUAGAUCGCCAAGCACGCUGGAAUGAUCACCUCUAUCCGAGUGGCCCCGCCGCCGACGUCACUCGCCCACUCUGUUGCACAAAACGUCAAACGCUGACAUCAACCGUGCAUCAACGAGUGCACUGCGGAAACGCCUCCUCCUCCUCCUAAAGCAACUUGUCAACGGCGACGACGGCGCCCAGCAGUACCCAGCCUCACCACGGACAUCGAGGCCAGAUCGGAUUUAUCGCUUCGUUCGAAUCGUCACCACUUUUGAUUCUGUUUUGAUAUGAACAAAUAAAUAAAAUUUAAAUGAACUCUUCUUCUUCUUAUUUCUAUCGAAAUUUCGAGCAGCAACGGUCAAUUCAAAAAGGUAAAUAUUGAAGUGGCUGCGUUCUGCGUGCUUUUGGCGGGGUAUGCGUUACUGCGUUACGUUUGCGAUAUCGGAAAUAAUCGUUUGCGAUAUUGGAAGCAAUCCCGGAUAAACGAAAACUAUAUGAAUUCUAGUGAGGACCUUAAAACAACCUUAUGAGUUAUGGUCACCAUUUGUAAUAAUGUUAUUUGGCGGACCUUGAUAACUAUUUGUCAGAUGGUUACCAUUAGUAAUAGAGUUAUUUUAAUGUUUGUAAUGGUCAACAAUUUUCUUGAUGACUUUAAAAAACUAUUUGAGGAUGUUUACUCAAAUGGUUACCCUAAAUCAUAAGGUGAUUUUUAAGUUCAAAUGGUUCAUAUUGAUUCACGAUUACCAUAUAGAAACAUAAAAUACCCAUUUGAAAAAUAGUUUGAAUUUGCAAAAAACAUUUACCAAAUUUGACUAAGCUUUGUUUUCAAAUGAAAGAAUCAAACUUUUUUGUCUGUAGCUUCAUAAGGGGUUGGGUUUGUGCUGGAGUCGGAUUUGGGCAACUUCCGGAACAAUAUUUUGUCUGACUAAGUUGCCGGAAAAGUGUACGAUCUACUCAACGAUGGUGGGGCUGAUAAAAGCGAAGAAUGACAACUUUGGCGGAGAGUUUGUGAACCAUAUGGUAAAGGCAUUCACUUUACGGUGAAGUGUUCGUCGUGCAGCUGCACCAGUAGUACCAAGUUAUGUGGACAUCAUUUGGCUUACUUGGCCCUGGAUUUUACCCACAUUUGAGCUGCCAAAGAAAACCAAUCCGAAGUUUACCAAUUUUAAUUGACAGAAUCUAAACCAACAAAAAGAGAAAACAAACGGAGGAGCUCAAGAACAAAAAGGCUCGAAAAUGUCGGUUCCUUUUGAUGCGCUACAAUUCCUUUGAGUUUCGUUGACGAUGCAAUUUUAAGCAUAUCAUGUUUGUGAUAAUUGUUACUUUAUUUCAAUUGUAUGAGCGAAUCAUUUUUCAACAGUUGAUAAUUUUGAAUUUACGGCAUAUUUGCGAGAGCAGGUAACGAGCGUAGCGAGAGAAGAGAAACGAAAGAGCGCGCCAGGCAGAGUAUUAUUACUCUGCUUUGCGCGCUCUCUCGUUUCUCUUCUCUCGCUAUGCUCGUUACCUGCACUCGUUGCAGGCUGGCGCAGGCAAAAACAGUCUGAAGUGAAACGUUUGUGCGGCUGGUUGUUGUCUACGUUUUGUGCGCAGGUAUAAUUUUCAAACAAAUCAUUUGAUUUACCAGAUACUUUGUUUACAUUUUUCUUGUUGAUCAUUUCAGCACCGUGGAGAACUUGAAACAACGGAACAGCUGGUGCUGGAGGAUUCGGUGGCAGCCGACCGACAAAACAAAAUCGAAGCGAACGCACGAUUGGCAUUAAUCAAGGAAAUCAUUUGAAUCAUCAGAUAAGUACACAUAUUUGAAUGUUGCAUUCUACUCGAUACUUUGUGAUUUUUUUUUCUUAUUUUUUCAGGUUUGGACGACUUUGGCAGUAUGAUCAACCGAACAGAAUCGGCAAUCAACUAGAAUUAAAGCCAAAAAAGUUCUAAUAUUAUUGUUGUGAACCAUCCGUCAAAAAGUGAACAAUUCUGUAAAAAUUGGGUAGGUAAAAAAUGCUAGAAAAAACUAUUAAAAACCAUUUGAAAACUAUUUUUCAAAUAGUGGAACUGGGAGAAAAUUAUAGAAUUAACCUUAAAUAACCAUGUGAAAACUAUUUCUAAAAUAGUAGCGCUCGGUAAAAAUAGCAAGAAAAACCCUAAAAAACCAUUUGCGAACCAUUUGUAGAACAGUAGCAGCAAGGUUAAAAAUUGUAAGAAAAACCUUAAAAUACCAUUUAAAACCAUUUCUGAAACAGUAAAAACCGGAGGAAAAAGGUCGCUUCCACGCGAAAAUAACUUUAUUUUUACCAUUACACAAAUGGUAAUCUGACGAAACGUUGUUCGGAGAUUUUUAAGGUUACCGUUGCUAACCACCCUCAUCUCAGAUGGUCGAACUUUAUGAAAAAUGGUAGGGUACCAUUUCCGAUAUGGUAUUUUUAAGGUUUUCCUACCAUUUUUCAAAUAGUGGUUACGAUCUCUGAAAUGGUGAGAAAACCAUUUAACACAUAGUUUUUUUAAGGUUCUCGUUUAUGCGGGAUGUUUCCUGCUGACGGGUGGAAACCGAGAUUUGCGAUUUUUAGAGCAAAUCGAAAGCAAAGUUUCCGAUUCCGCAAACCGGAUUUUGUUCCGUGUAUCAUUAGACUGAAAAUUGAACCAACAAAUUUUCUUGCAAAUUCAACAUUUUAUUGCGAAUUGCUCAAAUUAACAAAUAGACUGAAUGAGUAUAACAGAUUUGAAAACACUGAAUGACAUACAGAUUUCAUAAAAAGUUGGAAUAACAGAAAGGAUAUUUUAACAUACGCAGUUUUGCAAUGACAAGAUGAUAGGAUGUAUAGAUCAAUGAAAAACUUUAUAGAGUAAUUUUUUUAUUCAAGUAUAAAAAUAAUAGUCAAUUAGAACUGAUUUUUUUUUGUAUUAAAAAUAAUAGAACUGAUUUCAUAUAAAAAUAUCAACAAGAUUUAUAAGAUUGUAAGUAAAUUUUAAUUUCAAUUUUGCACAGAAAUUAAAUGAUAGAUUCCUGAAAAUUAUAAAAUAUUACUCAUGCGAAGAAAACAAGUAAGAAAUUUGUGUGGGAGAAACAAAACUAAAAAACUGAAGUAAAAUAUGGUAGAGACACAAGGAUGAUCGACGCGUUCGUAUGCUGAGAAGUUCUACGCGCUCGUAUGCAGAAGUUUGUGAUGGCAAGAUGGUGAGUGGCAAAGUCAUGCGGGAAGUUGAACAGGUAACGGUGUUGAUGUAGUUGUUAAAGGUCAUAUCAAUGAGGAUCAAGUCGAAUUAAAACGCAAUUUUUGGUAACGAGACAUUCACGUAAAACAAAUUACCAAAUUGAAAUGUGGAAUUAAGCGAAGUAAA